rnacentral:rRNA from 1 species
CGCGUAGGCGGAGCGUUAAGUGUGGCCUGAAAGCCCCCGGCUCAACCGGGGAGGGCGGCUGCAAACUGACGCUCUUGAGGGCGACAGAGGAGUGUGGAAUUCCUGGUGUAGCGGUGAAAUGCGUAGAGAUCAGGAGGAACACCCGUGGCGAAGGCGGCACUCUGGGUCGGCCCUGACGCUGAGGCGCGAAAGCGUGGGAGCGAACG